GACGAGCGCUGGCGGCGUGCUUCACACAUGCAAGUCGAACGAUGAACCCGGAGCUUGCUCCGGCGGAUUAGUGGCGAACGGGUGAGUAACACGUGAGUAACCUGCCCUUGACUCUGGGAUAACUGCUAGAAAUGGUAGCUAAUACCGGAUACGACCCUCGGUGGCAUCACCAGGGGGUGGAAAGAAUUUCGGUCAAGGAUGGACUCGCGGCCUAUCAGCUAGUUGGGGAGGUAACGGAUCACCAAGGCGACGGCGGGUAGCCGGCCUGAGAGGGUGACCGGCCACACUGGGACUGAGACACGGCGCAGACUCCAACGGGAGGCAGCAGUGGGGAAUAGUGCACAAUGGGCGCAAGCCUGAUGCAGCAACGCCGCGUGGGGGAUGACGGACUUCGGGUUGUAAACCGCUUUUAGUAGGUAAGAAGCGAAAGUGACGGUACCUGCAGAAAAAGCACCGGCUAACUACGUGCCAGCAGCCGCCGUAU
rnacentral:rRNA from 1 species